CAUCGAUAGCAAUUCGAUAAACUGCAUUAAUAGUAACCUUAAACACGCUCUCCGAUUCGCUAACCUUCCCUUUAGUGCUAAAAAUGCUUCGGUUCAUUGUCCUGUUGAAAGUAGUAUACCGAUGGCAUUUGCAAUUUUUCGGCUGAAGACUCCAAAUUUGGCUUCAAAAUAUCGAGAUAUUUAAACUUAUCCAUAGUAGUUUCAAUGCCAUAAUUAUGCCAUAAAUCCCGAUAACAUGAUCGAACCGCCGCCGUGCUUCAGUGUUGGAAUCAUGUUAUUCUUGUUGAACUCCUCGCUCGGUUUUCGCCGAACAAUUAUUCCACCGACUGAAUGAAGUAUAAGUCAAUUUUAACUUCAUCCGAGAAUAUUAUAUUAUUCCGAAAACCUUCAUCUCGCAAUUCACAUAUUAUUUUGCGAAUUUCGAACGCAAUUCACGCGGCAAAAAGUGAAACCAUAAGUUUCCUCGGGGAUGUGCGUGUUUCACUUAUUUUUUUCUCCGAAAUAGCAACGAGUACGUUGAUAUUCGCAAAAACUAAGGAGUUACUGAGCGAUGAUAAGAGCGAAGCCACACGCAAAAGCAUACCUCGUCAGAAGCAUCCUUCAGAAGGAUCAUCUUCUAGAUUACCUUGCUGACUGGUCUAUGCUCUCUUGCGGAGAGUAAACCAUACUUCAGGUUUGAGAGGUAAGAUUUCCACAUAACUGUAUCAAACGUCAGAGAAAAAUUCGUACGAAACUCAAGGAAACCACAGAGUUCUAGAAACGUUGCGAGUCGAAGGGGACCCUUUAUAUAUCGAAGUGAAAUAGAGACGGCUCGCGGUUCCUACCACCCGUUGAUAUCGAUCCAACAGCGGGCAGAACGGGGAAUUCGAGAUGACCAGUCAACGCUUUCAAUUUUGCCUUUGUGUAGCUGUACGUGGAAUGGUUAUCAUUUGUCUCUGUUUGACAAUUUUCUGAGAACGUAAGACUUUUUCUGUCUACGUUACGAACUUUCGAAUAGUAAUCGGUCGUUUUGUAUAAUAGCAUGGAAAUUUAUGCGCAAGAAAUGUCGAAGUUUAAAUGGCACUCGAAUGCUGCGUUUAGGUUUCUUGCGCAUCAGAUAUGCCAAAUCUGUUUUUAAUCGCUUCACGCUGUUAGGAAUUUCAUGCGGGAACAAACUGAGCAGUUUAUUGUAAUAAUCAAAUAAUUACGAGAGAGAGAGAGAGAGAGAGAGAGAGAGAGAGAGAGAGAGAGCAAUCUGAACUGGAAUUAGAGAGAAAAACGCGCGUAUUGCACAGAAAUACAAAACUAAAGAAACGCAUAGCUCUAACACAUACAAUUUUAAAUGAAUUUCAGAUGAAAAUGUAAUUGCUCGUAGAGAUGAACAAAAUAUUAUUUAGACAAUGUUCCGAGAUUUAACAUCGAUAAACAUUAAUUAACAUUAAAUUGGGGCUAAUUUCCUAGCAAUAAAUAAGCGGAUGUAGCUAGCGGAUGUAUUAUAAUCCCUAGGUAUGCCAGAAACGUAUGAUAUUUAUGCACGAAAAAUAUGCAAAUAUUCACUAAAAAUAUGCAACCACCAACUAAAAUCAAUUACACGAAAAGUAACACCGGAAAUGUCCGUUCUAAUAAAAUUAAGUACGUACAACGUUUCACGGUUAUUCUGAUGUAUUGUACUUACUGUUAGAAUUAUAGUAAAUUACAUGCAUCGUUUCUACAUUUGGCGGUGUUGAUAGUGUUUGUCGGAAAACGUUAAUUUAUAUACCAAAAAUGACAAGCUCCAUAUCACCUUGCAUCGGUUCUUUUACAAUUUCGUCGCUUAAAAUACGUGAAAUUUGUCUCAGUUCCACAGAUUCUGUAUCCCUUCGUAACAUAAAACUUAUUAUCUCGGUACGAGUCCGACCGUGCAACCUUCUCCUCGUGUGCCAUGAAUUAUUCUAAUGCCCGCGGCACAUUUUUCAUUUAAAGUGCUGUAACUUUGCGAAAAAAAUCGUAACGACUUAAUGCUGCUUUCAAAUUAAUGGGGAAGGUCCGAACUAGUGUUCCUUCUCGAGAAUUUCUCGAGAAAUUUUAUAAUUGGUUAUUUCUCAUUUCUCGAAAAGUUACGGUAUUUCCCGAGAAAUUAAAAUCUAGGAAAAUUCUUCCGAGUCUCGUUUGCUUUAUAACAUAUUUUCGGAAGUGAAUUUUUAGUUCACUCAAAUUGCAUAUUACUAAUCAAUCGUGUACGUGCAAGCGAUCGAUUUGCUCGUGAUUCUGCGUGAACAGACAGUCUACGUUUGUGGACAGUUGGUGUCAAAUUUGUUAGUGUUACUAUAAUUUAUUUGGUGUAAUUUUUAUUUAUUUAUUAUUUGCAUAAUCUGGUUAAUCAUAAUAUUUUAUUAUAUUAUAUAUCCUAAUAUUUCAUUUAUAUUAAAUCCGUCAAACAAUUUCGAUAUUCAGACGACAACGAAACAAUGAAUAAAUUUAUUAGACGACCAAUUUUGUCAGAAAUAACAUCGAAAUUGGCAGCUGUUAAUCGAUUUUCAUUUCAUCAAAUCACUAAAAGUGAAUUUAUAAAACACGGUUUAUCGUUUAAAGAAUUUAUUCUCCCUUCUAAUUCGUCGGAUGUAACGCAAUUAAUGAUGGGCUAUUAUUCGCAGAAAAAAAGAAUUAAUUAAAAAAAAUAAAGACACUAAAAUUAAACAACAAGAAAUUCGGCAUAUCUAUUGAUGAAUGGACGAGCGUAAAAUAAUAAAAGAUAUAUGGAUGUACAUAUAUAUUACAGUAGCAAGAAAUCUACCCAUCUAAGGUUAAUAACAAUUCAUGGAAACUGUACAGCUGAAAAAACUUUAGAACUACUGAACGUAAAACUAAAUUCUUUUAAUCUUUCUCUACAAGAGUGUACGUUCUAGCUGUUCUGAGUAAUGGGGCACCUGUUAUGCAAUUUGGACGACUCUCCACGGCAUACCAACGACUAUGUUAUAAUUAUGGAGUACAUUUAGCUGUUUUAAAACUAUUUUAUGUAAAAUAAAAAUACUGACGAUACCUAAUCUGUUCAUUCAGAUGAUUCGCAUAGUGAUCUCCAACUUGAUGUUGCACGAAUAAAAUUUUCAAGAAAUAAA